rnacentral:rRNA from 1 species
GACGAACGCUGGCGGCGUGCUUAACACAUGCAAGUCGAACGGAAAGGCCCUGCUUUUGUGGGGUGCUCGAGUGGCGAACGGGUGAGUAACACGUGAGUAACCUGCCCUUGACUUUGGGAUAACUUCAGGAAACUGGGGCUAAUACCGGAUAGGAGCUCCUGCUGCAUGGUGGGGGUUGGAAAGUUUCGGCGGUUGGGGAUGGACUCGCGGCUUAUCAGCUUGUUGGUGGGGUAGUGGCUUACCAAGGUUUUGACGGGUAGCCGGCCUGAGAGGGUGACCGGCCACAAUGGGCCUGAGAGACGGCCCAGAAGGCUACGGGAGGCAGCAGGGGGGAAUAUUGCACAAUGGGCGGGAGCCUGAUGCAGCAACGCCGGGUGCGGGAUAACGGCCUUUGGGGUGUAAACCGCUUUCGCCUGUGACGAAGCGGGAGUGACGGUAAUGGGUAAAGAAGCACCGGCUAACUACGUG